CCACUAUUCUCCAUAUCUCUUGCUGCAAUUGUAAUAGUACUGUGGAGACAGCCGUUUCUGAAGUAUGUACUUUAAUUGCAAAAGAUGCAGUUGGAUGUAUUGUCGCUAAAGCAGGUGCAACCUGUAAGUCUCUUUUAAGUACCUCAAAUGCAUUCUGAUGUUCAUCUGUCCAUGGUCCAAAUGAAGAUUCACUAUUUUUCAAGAGAUCAUAUAAAGGUUUGGCUUUUUCAGCGAACCCUUCAAUAAAUUCUCU